AGUGAACGCUGGCGGUAGGCCUAACACAUGCAAGUCGAACGGCAGCACAGUAAGAGCUUGCUCUUACGGGUGGCGAGUGGCGGACGGGUGAGGAAUACAUCGGAAUCUACUUUUUCGUGGGGGAUAACGUAGGGAAACUUACGCUAAUACCGCAUACGACCUACGGGUGAAAGCAGGGGAUCUUCGGACCUUGCGCGAUUGAAUGAGCCGAUGUCGGAUUAGCUAGUUGGCGGGGUAAAGGCCCACCAAGGCGACGAUCCGUAGCUGGUCUGAGAGGAUGAUCAGCCACACUGGAACUGAGACACGGUCCAGACUCUUACGGGAGGCAGCAGUGGGGAAUAUUGGACAAUGGGCGCAAGCCUGAUCCAGCCAUACCACGUGGGUGAAGAAGGCCUUCGGGUUGUAAAGCCCUUUUGUUGGGAAAGAAAAGCAGCAGGUUAAUACCCCGCUGUUCUGACGGUACCCAAAGAAUAAGCACCGGCUAACUUCGUG
rnacentral:rRNA from 1 species